rnacentral:lncRNA from 1 species
GUUUCAAUUUCCUAGUAAUUCAAUACAAAAUUUUAUUGAUAUAAUGUGUUUGUUCCUGCACAUGGAAAUGUCAUUCACAUGAAUUAAACUUCUCAAAAAUCUCGCAAAUAUUUCAUGUAUGUUCGGUACGAUACAAUUCAAUUUUUAAAACCGUUGUAUAUAAAAGACACAUUUGAUGCACUUGUACCGUUAGUUGUGAAAAUUAUAAAAGAAUAAAGGUUCUGAUAAAAUACUCAUUCAAAAAGAUCUUUCAAAAUAAAUUUCCGAACUGCAAGGAUAUACAAAUCAGAAAGUCCCAUAUCAAAUGAUGAAAUUGUUUUCUAAUUUAAAGAUGUGCAACAUUUGAUUCAAUUGAAUCAUAUGAAAAUGUAAAAAAAACUUAAAUAAUCAGACUUUUAUAUUUAUAUAACUUCAGUAAUAAUGAAAUGUAUUAAAUCAUAAUUACACAUACCACCAUAUGUAUAUAAUUAUUUACCAAUAUAGAUACAAUUGUGAUAUGUGGUAAUUUCAAUUUUUCAAUUAAUAGGAAUAAAAUGUAUCAUGGAUGUUUUAUAGUCUAUUCUCAACAAGAAAUAUGCAACAGAUAUAUCAAUAUUCAUGAGAACAUCAUAUGAAAAUAUUCAUAAAACUUUAAAUAACAGACUAUUUCAGAAAUAAAAAUAGAAAUAAAAACAAGAAGAAAUGUAGCCGUUAAUGACGAAAAAGGAAACAGCUUGCGUCCGGUGAUAAUUUUGACAAUGCACAAAUAUGUUGACUUGUUAUAUUGUUCGCUAAUAGAUUACUUAUAGUUCCGUUCAUGGGCGGAAAAGGAGUAUGUAAACCUUACUUAUAAAACUGCUGUUUUGGUGCAAUUAUUACAAACCAACCACCUUUACUUUUUUGGUAAGUCUUUUUGACCUACAUGAAGUUUUAGUGUGACAUUACUUUUAACGUUACUAUAAUAACCAUUGAAUGAGAAAUUGAAAAUUAUUUGAAUAUCAUUAAUUUCAUUUUAAUUGUAAUAAAAAUAUGAUGACACUGAAACUUCUUGAUUAUCUGCAGGAAAUGAAAGACCAAGUAUUGUAAAUAAAGGCAACAAUAGUGUACGUUAUUCUUCAGACGUGCACUUGAUUUUUAUGUGUAUACAUUAUCGCAAAUCAUAUCCUUCGCUGGAUUUUCUUAUCACAAGAAUGAAUUACCUUAGCCGUAUUUGGCACAACUUUUUGGAAUAUUGGGUCCUCAUUUCUCUUCAACUUUGUACUUGUUUGAGUCUAAACUAUUGUGAUCUAAGCGUCACUGCUGAGUCUUAUGUAGACGAAACACGCGUCUUGUGUACUAAAUUAUAAUCCUGGUACCUUUAAUAACUAUUUGUGAGUGUGUCCAGAUUGUCCAAUUUCGAUUAUAUUGAUGAUGUUUCUUUAUCUUUGUUUUAUCCUUUUAUCGUAGGACUAUGUAGGAUGGGGAGGUUUUGGUCGUCUAAUAAACAUUUUUAACUGUCCAAUGCAUUUGUAAUUUGAUCGUUUGUAUAUACAUUAAUUUUAUAUAGUGAAAAGUUUUAUUUUUAAAUUCAUUAAUUUUUCGUCUCAUUCUAAUUGUCAAAGUAAAAUUAAAAUAAACUAUAUUAAGAUAAUAUGUGGAAAUAAUAUAAACCAUAAACUGUUUAAAACAUUAGAAUGGAUAGAAUUGUUAAUAAGCCUUUUUAAUAACAUAAAAUGCAUUCACAUAUCUUCAACAAAAUGUUUAUAAUCUUUUCCUCCCUAAUUUAUUUGAUUGAAGAUCAUUUCCAUGAUUUUUGUUUACCUUUUAUAAUAAAUCCACUAAGAGUAACAGAGUAUUCCUGAAAAUAAUUUCGUAUCUUAGGAUUUCAUAUCAGUUCAUAUCAAUUUACAUUAUUCAAUACUGGAAGCUACUAUUUUUUACAGAUUUUCAUUCUCGAUAUUAACAAAAUGAGAACCAUGAUGAUGUAUUCAGGUUUUCUGUUGAUCUGUAUAUUCGCAUUGUCAGAGCAGUGUCAUUGUCCGGGCUAUUAUACACAGGAAAUUGUUUGUGACAGAACAAUAG